rnacentral:lncRNA from 1 species
UUUGUCCCUAGCAGGUCACCCAGAGUCCAACAGGAAGUGAGAGCAGCUCCUUCCUGCUGCAGUAAGAGAUGAACAUUCCCUUUGGAGAGACACACUAGGUCACUACAAAUGGGCCACUGAAGAACCUGGCACUGGCCGCUAUCACUGGCCCCAGCUGCAGUGCUGCUUGCUGUUCACAGAUUAAGACCCUGGGGCUUGGAGACAGCAAGUGACUGUCCCAAGAUCACUCAGCUGAUAAGUGAUGGAGCCAGGAUUCCAGCCUAGACUGUCUGACUGCAAGGGGCUUGAACUUUUCACCGUAACGCAGAUUGUGAAUUCCAUGAAAGCAGGGACUGUGCUUUCUGAGUCUCUAGCCAAGCACCUGCCACAUGGAUACCUCAUGGAAACUUGACAGAACAAAGGAUUUAUUUUUUAUUAGGUUAAAUCUGCUUCUUGGGUACUGUUUGCUUGCUGCCCAUUAAGUCUGGACAUCUCAAUUUGAAAAAAAGGCACUUGGAUUAAUAAAAAC